GGGGGCGGGCUUAAACAUGCAAGUCGAGCGGGGAAGGGUAGCUUGCUACCUAACCUAGCGGCGGACGGGUGAGUAAUGCUUAGGAAUCUGCCAUUUAGUGGGGGACAACAUUCCGAAAGGAAUGCUAAUACCGCAUACGUCCUACGGGAGAAAGCAGGGGAUCUUCGGACCUUGCGCUAAAUGAUGAGCCUAAGUCGGAUUAGCUAGUUGGUGGGGUAAAGGCCUACCAAGGCGACGAUCUGUAGCGGGUCUGAGAGGAUGAUCCGCCACACUGGGACUGAGACACGGCCCAGACUCCUACGGGAGGCAGCAGUGGGGAAUAUUGGACAAUGGGCGGAAGCCUGAUCCAGCCAUGCCGCGUGUGUGAAGAAGGCCUUAUGGUUGUAAAGCACUUUAAGCGAGGAGGAGGCUACUAGUAUUAAUACUACUGGAUAGUGGACGUUACUCGCAGAAUAAGCACCGGCUAACUCUGUGCCAGCAGCCGCGGUAAUACAGAGGGUGCGAGCGUUAAUCGGAUUUACUGGGCGUAAAGCGUGCGUAGGCGGCUUUUUAAGUCGGAUGUGAAAUCCCCGAGCUUAACUUGGGAAUUGCAUUCGAUACUGGGAAGCUAGAGUAUGGGAGAGGAUGGUAGAAUUCCAGGUGUAGCGGUGAAAUGCGUAGAGAUCUGGAGGAAUACCGAUGGCGAAGGCAGCCAUCUGGCCUAAUACUGACGCUGAGGUACGAAAGCAUGGGGAGCAAACAGGAUUAGAUACCCUGGUAGUCCAUGCCGUAAACGAUGUCUACUAGCCGUUGGGGCCUUUGAGGCUUUAGUGGCGCAGCUAACGCGAUAAGUAGACCGCCUGGGGAGUACGGUCGCAAGACUAAAACUCAAAUGAAUUGACGGGGGCCCGCACAAGCGGUGGAGCAUGUGGUUUAAUUCGAUGCAACGCGAAGAACCUUACCUGGCCUUGACAUACUAGAAACUUUCCAGAGAUGGAUUGGUGCCUUCGGGAAUCUAGAU
rnacentral:rRNA from 1 species